rnacentral:rRNA from 1 species
CCUACGGGAGGCUGCAGUGAGGAAUAUUGGUCAAUGGACGAGAGUCUGAACCAGCCAAGUAGCGUGAAGGAUGACUGCCCUAUGGGUUGUAAACUUCUUUUAUAUGGGAAUAAAAUGUUCCACGUGUGGGAGUUUGUAUGUACCAUAUGAAUAAGGAUCGGCUAACUCCGUGCCAGCAGCCGCGGUAAUACGGAGGAUCCGAGCGUUAUCCGGAUUAAUUGGGUUUAAAGGGCGCGUAGGUGGAUUGUUAAGUCAGUUGUGAAAGUUUGCGGCUCAACCGUAAAAUUGCAGUUGAAACUGGCAGUCUUGAGUACAGUAGAGGUGGGCGGAAUUCGUGGUGUAGCGGUGAAAUGCUUAGAUAUCACGAAGAACUCCGAUUGCGAAGGCAGCUCACUGGACUGCAACUGACACUGAGGCUCGAAAGUGUGGGUAUCAAACAGGAUUAGAUACCCUAGUAGUC